AAAAAAACAUUAGAAAAACAAUAAGGUCUUUCCUCACGGAGAGGAAAGUCCUUAAUGAGGUUAUAGGCCAGUCCAAUACGGCCUAACUGAAAGAUAAAAUGAAAUGUAAGAGAUAGACAGUAACUAUGACUAAGAUCAACCAUAAGUGAACGUGAACAAUACAAGCUAGUUAUUUGAAGUCCCUGCUUUGCCUUUGAGUAGUUUUUCCGCAGUUGUAAGUGUCUAUAUAAGAUGUAAAGCUCUAUGUGAUGA
rnacentral:lncRNA from 1 species